CCUACGGGGUGCAGCAGUGGGGAAUAUUGCACAAUGGGCGCAAGCCUGAUGCAGCCAUGCCGCGUGUAUGAAGAAGGCCUUCGGGUUGUAAAGUACUUUCAGCGGGGAGGAAGGCGGUAAGGUUAAUAACCUUGUCGAUUGACGUUACCCGCAGAAGAAGCACCGGCUAACUCCGUGCCAGCAGCCGCGGUAAAACGGAGGGUGCAAGCGUUAAUCGGAAUUACUGGGCGUAAAGCGCACGCAGGCGGUCUGUCAAGUCGGAUGUGAAAUCCCCGGGCUCAACCUGGGAACUGCAUUCGAAACUGGCAGGCUAGAGUCUUGUAGAGGGGGGUAGAAUUCCAGGUGUAGCGGUGAAUGCGUAGAGAUCUGGAGGAAUACCGGUGGCGAAGGCGGCCCCCUGGACAAAGACUGACGCUCAGGUGCGAAAGCGUGGGGAGCAGGCAGGAUUAGAUACCCCUGUAGUC
rnacentral:rRNA from 1 species